rnacentral:lncRNA from 1 species
UCGAGGUCAACAGGAGGCUGCGCGAGCGCGAUGCCGGCGAGCCCCGGAAGAACGACUUCCUCGACCUGCUGCUCGACGCCACCGGAGGAGGCUUGACCACGGCGGGGCUUGAUCGUGACACGCUCCGGUCAUUCUUCACGGAAGAAGACAGAUCACUAGUUUUUAAAUUUUGUUUUCUUUAUAUGGAAGAAGCAAUUUAUAUGUCUCGCGUGCCGCGCGUGUGCCAUGUCAGUGUCAAACAGAGUUUAGCUUCAUAUAGAGUAUGCUUCCGUACUUUCUUAUUACAACCUCAAUAAGGGAAAUAUUUUUAAGUUUAUAUAUCCUUAAAAUUCCAACAAGAUAGGUAGUCCCUCCAUUCCCAAUUUUAGGUCUAUUUUACUUUUUCUAGAUUCACAGAUAUUAUUAUGCAUAUCUACAUCUAUAAUAAUAUCUAUGAAUCUAAAAAAAGUUAAAACGACUUGUAAUUUGGAACGGACUUCACAGUAAUGUUUUAUAAAAGAGAAUCGCGGACAGCUACUGCAUAAAUUAUUAGCAGAGGACCAACUUGGAUUCUUGCAUUGAGAUAAUAUAUCAAAAUGAUAAAUAAUAUAGAUGUGAUGCAUCCUGUCUGGAACAGAGGUGAAGCACAUGCUUGCACAUGCAGGCUUGUGUCUCUGUUCAUUAUUGCCCAAAUGAUACUUGUCGAAGCCAACUUUUCAUAUGAAAACUUAGCUGAUGUGUUAAUUGUUAACAAAUGGGAUUUACCACACCAAAACAUCAGAGCACGUAAGUUGCAUCACCCACCAGUGCACGUCUGAAGGCUCUACUUCUGUUUUCUUUUUUAACUGUAACGCAACUGUUUUCAUAUAUAAUAAUUACAGUAUCGUCGUAGGCUGUUUGUUUCUUGUAUCCAAAUAAAUAUUUCGGACAUUAUUAAUUCAUCUGUACUUUAGGAUUUGUUUGCUGCAGGAAGUGAUACAAGCUCCAGCACAGUGGAAUGGGCCAUGGUGGAGUUGCUCAGAAACCCAGUUUCAAUGGCUAAACUAAGCAACGAGCUCGUAGAG